CUAGCGGUCGGUGUAGUUUUUUGAUAGUUGGGCGGCGUCACGCCGUCGCAUAAAUAACACGUUUUAGCAGUAAAUGUGUUUGUCUGCGUAAUGGAGGCUAAUUGUAAAAUCCUACAAUCAGCUUGACUUAAGCAAUAUUAAAAAACCUGGCCGAUUUGUUAUCUAUAUCCGACUAUAAGUCGGACUCGCCCAUUAAGUGUUUCGUAGCAGCAAAUAUUUUUUUUAUAUAUAUAAGUAUUUGAGUUGAUUGAAUGAAAGAAUACAUCUUAUCAAGUUUCAACAGUAUAGUUCUUAUAGUUUCGGAAAAAGUGGCUGUGACAUACGGACAUGACGAAUCUAUUAAGUGUUCCGUUUUUUACCAAUUGGCUACGGAAACUUAAAAAGAUGUCAUAUCUGAAAACGAAGUAAGUUUGCAACAGUAAUGACUGUCAAAUGUCCAUGAUGAAGAAGAAAAAAUUGGAAAUUUACAACAAGAUGGCACAGAAACUGGUAACAUUGAGCGAUUAAAGCAUUUACCUUAAUUACAU